rfam:Triticum aestivum genome assembly, contig: Triticum_aestivum_CS42_TGACv1_scaffold_052473_1BS
UUGAUGCAGGUGAGAAGACACAAGUUUUAUGUGUAAUUUGCGUCUGAGGUGUCUCUGUGAUGUCACACCCUUUUAACGUUGGAUAUCUGAUGCAUCCU